rnacentral:rRNA from 1 species
UACGUAGGGUGCGAGCGUUGUCCGGAAUUAUUGGGCGUAAAGAGCUCGUAGGCGGUGUGUCACGUCGGCCGUGAAAACCUGGGGCUUAACUCUGGGCGUGCGGUCGAUACGGGCAUCACUAGAGUUCGGCAGGGGAGACUGGAAUUCCUAGUGUAGCGGUGAAAUGCGCAGAUAUCAGGAGGAACACCGGUGGCGAAGGCGGGUCUCUGGGCCGAUACUGACGCUGAGGAGCGAAAGCAUGGGGAGCGAACAGG